rnacentral:ncRNA from 1 species
AAAAUAGGUUCUUAUAGAUUAAAAGGGAAAAAGGUUAAAUGCCUUUGCAGCCCCCGCUACUGUAAAACUGACGAAACUAUAAACGCCACUGUCUCUUGACGGGAAGGUAUAGGAGUAGGAUGAAGUUGAGCCAGGAUACCUGCCUAAUUUAAUUG